rnacentral:rRNA from 1 species
AUUGAACGCUGGCGGCAUGCCUUACACAUGCAAGUCGAACGGCAGCAUGAUCUAGCUUGCUAGAUUGAUGGCGAGUGGCGAACGGGUGAGUAAUACAUCGGAACUUGCCCUGUAGUGGGGGAUAACUAGUCGAAAGAUUAGCUAAUACCGCAUACGACCUGAGGGUGAAAGUGGGGGACCGCAAGGCCUCAUGCUAUAGGAGCGGCCGAUGUCUGAUUAGCUAGUUGGUGAGGUAAAGGCUCACCAAGGCGACGAUCAGUAGCUGGUCUGAGAGGACGAUCAGCCACACUGGGACUGAGACACGGCCCAGACUCCUACGGGAGGCAGCAGUGGGGAAUUUUGGACAAUGGGCGAAAGCCUGAUCCAGCAAUGCCGCGUGUGUGAAGAAGGCCUUCGGGUUGUAAAGCACUUUUGUCCGGAAAGAAAUGGCUCUGGUUAAUACCUGGGGUCGAUGACGGUACCGGAAGAAUAAGGACCGGCUAACUACGUG